UACAUGUGUGCUAAGAGUAAAUACAUCUACAUGUACAUGUGUACAUGUGUGCUAAGAGUAAAUACAUCUACAUGUGUACAUGUGUGCUAAGAGUAAGUGUGUCUACACCUCUACAUGUGUGCUAAGAGUAAAUACGUCUACAUGUACAUGUACUAAGCACUAGUGUUGGGUAAUGCGAUUCCUGUCACAUCAAUUUUGUUAUAUAGACUUUGUCACGAGUCUAUAAAAUCAGGUGCCUUGACACUUGAGUUGUGAUUUAUGUCACACUAUCACAAUACAUGUAGUCUAGAACAGAUUUACAUAUCCUACAAACAAUUUUUAUUGCGUCACUUUUUAAAAACUGCUUCACUUUUUUUUUUACAUGUUGUUCAGUAACUAUUUAAAAUUUUCGAAAGCCAGAUCACAGAGUGGCAGUUAGUUAUUAAUUGGAUGGCACCCUCUGUGAUGCAGGCUAGGUUAUUUCGAGACUAACAUAUGAUUCAAUUUUAUUUCAAUAAUUCGCUUGCGUGUGGGGGACUUUAGCAGGGGGAGUAACCAGAGAAAACCCACAAGGCUAAACAGGCGACCCUUAUCCUUGUCACGUACAAGCUGGCAAUCGAAACUACGCUACUUGACUCAAUGACGGACCUUAUGAUUUAUGGGACACGUGUUAGAUCGUUAUGCCACCAAACCCCCAGUAACGGUUGAGAAGAACGUAAUCUAACACAUUCCCUGCUGCAUUCCCCAUGUGGCCUUUAAUAUAUGCAAAUUUAUAUUAAAAAACCAAAUUCACUGAAUCUCCCUAGACCACUCUCAAAAUUGUCCAUUAAAUAAUGUAAUGUUAAUUGUUUUAUUUUCAGAUAAAUGAUGCAGUUAGUAAUGAAUGGCCAUGGAUUUAUUUUAUCAGUCUUAUUAUUAUUUGUUCUUUUUUUGUACUUAAUCUUGUUCUUAGUGUGUUGAGUGGGUACAUACAAUUAUUAAUGACAUCAAUCACCUUCUUAACUUUAUUUCAUAGAGCUUGAGACAUGAUGGCUCAGUAAUAGGACGUUGGCUAGCUAACCUUGAGGGAUUUUAAGGUAGUGGCAAGGGUCAAACGUAUAGUUGUUCAGAUGGGACGCAAAACUGAGGUCCUGUAUGUUUAAACAAUCGCAGUAUUGGCUCUUAGCAGACUGAAGGAAAAUUGACUCGCAGAACUUGGAUAUACAUGUACAUGUAUUAAAGCUAUCUUCAAAUAAAAAGUCUUGGCAUUAAUUUUUAUGUCUGUCCGUAUGUAAAUAUAAAUAUAAUCCAUUCUUAUUGUUGUCACUGUUUUUUUAUAGAGAAUUUUGCAAAGAGAGAGAAAAAGCCAAAGCUACAGGAGACUUCCAAAAAUUACAGCUAAAACAACAGUUGGAGGAGGAAUUACGUGGUUAGAUUGCAUCACACAAGCUGAAACUAUAGCAGUUGAAGAUCCACAUACGUGUGGAAGAGGGUUUAAGUGUUUAGAUUAUUUAGAAGGUACAGAUUGUAAUGAAUUCUGGCAAGGGCCAAAUUUUGGCAUUACAAACUUUGAUAAUUUUGGCCUAGCUAUGUUGACAGUGUUUCAAUGUAUCACAAUGGAAGGAUGGACUGAUGUCUUAUAUGAUGUAAAUGAUGCAGUUAGUAAUGAAUGGCCAUGGAUUUAUUUUAUCAGUCUUAUUAUUAUUUGUUCUUUUUUUGUACUUAAUCUUGUUCUUGGUGUGUUGAGUGGGUACAUACAAUUAUUAAUGACAUCAAUCACCUUCUUAACUUUAUUUCAUAGAGCUUGAGACAUGAUGGCUCAGUAAUAGGACAUUGGCUAGCUAACCUUGAGGGAUUUUAAGGUAGUGGCAAGAGUCAAACGUAUAGUUGUUCAGAUGGGACGCAAAACUGAGGUCCUGUAUGUUUAAACAAUCGCAGUAUUGGCUCUUAGCAGACUGAAGGAAAAUUGACUCGCAGAACUUGGAUAUACAUGUACAUGUAUUAAAGCUAUCUUCAAAUAAAAAGUCUUGGCAUUAAUUUUUAUGUCUGUCCGUAUGUAAAUAUAAAUAUAAUCCAUUCUUAUUGUUGUCACUGUUUUUUUAUAGAGAAUUUUGCAAAGAGAGAGAAAAAGCCAAAGCUACAGGAGACUUCCAAAAAUUACAGCUAAAACAACAGUUGGAGGAGGUUUUACGUGGUUAGAUUGCAUCACACAAGCUGAAACUAUAGCAGUUGAAGAUCCACAUACGUGUGGAAGAGGGUUUAAGUGUUCAGAUUAUUUAGAAGGUACAGAUUGUAAUGAAUUCUGGCAAUGGCCAAAUUUUGGCAUUACAAACUUUGAUAAUUUUGGCCUAGCUAUGUUGACAGUGUUUCAAUGUAUCACAAUGGAAGGAUGGACUGAUGUCUUAUAUGAUGUAAGUAUGUCUACACCUCUACAUGUGUGCUAAGAGUAAAUACAUCUACAUGUACAUGUGUACAUGUGUGCUAAGAGUAAGUGUGUCUACACCUCUACAUGUGUGCUAAGAGUAAAUACGUCUACAUGUACAUGUACUAAGCACUAGUGUUGGGUAAUGCGAUUCCUGUCACAUCAAUUUUGUUAUAUAGACUUUGUCACGAGUCUAUAAAAUCUGGUGCCUUGACACUUGAGUUGUGAUUUAUGUCAUACUAUCACAAUACAUGUAGGGCAGUUUCACAAAAGUUCGUAACUUUAAGAAAAAAAACUACGUUAAGAAAAACUUACGAAAAAGAUACGAAUUAUUUACGCCGGUUUCACAAAGGCCGGCGUAAGUUUUUUCUUAACUUUUUCUCGUAUCUUUUUUCGUAAAUACGUCACGAAUGGUCGUGACGUCAUGUUGCGUCACUUCAUUCACACUUCUGUAAACAUUCCCACGGACUGAAUGUUGACAAUGUCGGCAUUAUAGCCGUUAUGUUUGAUUUGAUCCUUACCUUUUGAAACAUAAACGACGAAAUGAUAUAUUCCUUAUAUAUAUGCUAAGAUUUAGCGGUGUAUUUAUGAAUAAAAUGCUAUUUUCAUGCCUGUUGUUUACUUGUUUUUGUUUGCUACGUCAUAGCGCGUGACAUAGUACCAUACGUCGUCUGUAAGUCUGCCAAAAGCCGAAAUGGAACCAAAAAGGCGAAAACAAAAUUGAAACCCGGCAGCUCCCGGUGUUUUAAUUAAGGGGGUUGAACAGAAUUAUGGGAUUCUGAAGGAACUAUGCAGUGAACUAUGUAAUUUUACGACGAGUCCCCUUAUCGCUUUCCCCUUAUCGCGUGUCAUGUUGAAGCUUAAAGUUAAAACAAGACGAUAAUUCGUACGUUUACCUGAGUUUAGAAUCAGCUGUUGCUUGAACAUUAAUGGAAUGAAACCCUUUCCUGCAGACGAACAGCGGCUCAUUUUCUCCCGAUGGUGCUAUGAUGGCAACUUGUGUACCAUCAAUCGUUCCCACUACAUUUGGGAAGCCUGCUAUUUGGUGAAAACCUUCCUUUGUAGAAUUGAUAUCUUCCAUGGAAUAGGGGAAAUUUAUUGAUAAUUUAUCGUCAACACAGGUUGUUAUUGCUCGUGAAACACGAUAAAUUACUCUAGACACUGAUGGUACACUCAUCCCAUGUGCAUCAGCAAUGAGUUUUUGGAAGCUACCUGUGGCAUAGUAUCGUAAUGCAAUCAGGACUUGUACAGGUGAUGACAAGGAUUUCGAUCGGUAAAUGAUGCAGUUGGUAAUGAAUGGCCAUGGAUUUAUUUUAUCAGUCUUAUUAUUAUCUGUUCUUUUUUUGUACUUAAUCUUGUUCUUGGUGUGUUGAGUGGGUACAUACAAUUAUUAAUGACAUCAAUCACCUUCUAAACUUUAUUUCAUAGAACGUGAGACAUGAUGGCUCAGUAAUAGGACGUUGGCUAGCUAACCUUGAGGGAUUUUAAGGUAGUGGCAAGGGUCAAACGUAUAGUUGUUCAGAUGGGACGCAAAACUGAGGUCCUGUAUGUUUAAACAAUCGCAGUAUUGGCUCUUAGCAGACUGAAGGAAAAUUGACUCGCAGAACUUGGAUAUACAUGUACAUGUAUUAAAGCUAUCUUCAAAUAAAAAGUCUUGGCAUUAAUUUUUAUGUCUGUCCGUAUGUAAAUAUAAAUAUAAUCCAUUCUUAUUGUUGUCACUGUUUUUUUAUAGAGAAUUUUCCAAAGAGAGAGAAAAAGCCAAAGCUACAGGAGACUUCCAAAAAUUACAGCUAAAACAACAGUUGGAGGAGGUUUUACGUGGUUAGAUUGCAUCACACAAGCUGAUGAUAUUGAUCCUGAAUGUGAUGCAGAAGGUGUAAAUCUAUGGAAGCUGAGUUAUCAGAUCAAUCAAAAGAAUUAAGCAGCACUGACUUAUAAUUAACUCCAUCAUGGUUUCAACAAAAAAAAGUAUCGCCAAUCUGUUUUUUGUUGUGUUAUUUACAUUUGAAAUGCUGUAAAAAAUCUACAGUUUAGGCUUCCAGGGUUAUUUUGUGUCUUUGUUUAACCAUUUUCACAGUUUUGUUGUGUUAUGUAGUAUAUUAGAGGUGGUUCUAAUUUAUACAGAAGGUGUCAGUGUGUUGACAUGUGCCAGAUUAUUACGUGUCUUUAAAGCAACCAGCCAUGAAGCUAUAUCAGUUGUAAAAAUUCUCUGUGUUGAGAGUUAUACGUCCUUUACGUGCCAUAAACAGAGCUAAAGGAUGAAGAACAUCUUUUAACAGAAGAAAAUCCUUUAAUUCACGAGUUAAUAGCUAAUAUAUAGUUUCCUGUCGACUAUACUUGUAGAACAGAAAUUUACUGAGUGAUAAACUGGAGAAGAUCUGUGAAGAUUGAAGGCCGUCAGAGCUGCUGUAUUCGAACAUACACCGUCAUUAAAAGUUGGUUGUGAUUAUUUGAUACGUGAUUGUGUCAAGAGAUAUCCACUAGAAAACUGUCCACUGUGUAGCUGAAGAUCCUGAGAAUCAACUGAAAGGUUGUAAAAAUCAAAUAGACAAAGAGUUUAUUGUGGUCAUCUGUUUCAUAAUGGUUGUUUAGAUACGUUCAUGAAAACACCUCCAUUUAUAGGAGGUAAAAAAUGUCCUUCCUGUGAUAAACGAAUUUAUCAUGUAAAAUGGAAAGUGUCAGUUGAAGUAAUGGAGAAUUGAUGGGCACAAAGAGAAUUAGAAGAAGUCGUAGAUUUCUUGAAAUAAUUUAAAAUAUACGUCUACUUUUGUUGAGAAAAAUACCAAAUAUGUAUAUUCUACAAUCUCAGCUUCAAAUUUACAAUUUACUUACAAAAAUAUUUAUUUACAUUGUAUUCAAUGUCUCUAAUAUUUGAAAUAUUGUAAAAAUUGAAUCACUGGGGGCCGUGUCAGGCCCCCAAAUAUUCUGUUGAGUAUAUACAAAGAUAUGAUGAAUUAAAAAUUGGUCAAUAUUCAGAAUCCUUUACAGAUGAUAUAAAUGGGAUAUGAUCAAAAGUCAAGGCCACCUGUAAUCUUAGGUAAAAUCUUCUGAUUACUCUGUUUUUAAUCUGACUCGGGAGAUUUUCUAACAUUAAUUUUACUUUCUUAAAGAUGUAUCAUAUUGUAAUAUAUAGAAUUCGGUCUUUUAUAUAGGGCUAUUAUUGUUCAAUGUACACUUAUUAUAAAUUAUAUCAUUGCAUACUUCUUUUCCAAAAUGUUCAAUCUUGCAUUAAAAUGGUCCUUAGUUACGAACAUAUUUAUAUGUCACAACGUAGACGUCCAUCUUGUGUCAGAUUGUUACAUAUAUUUCUAUUUGUUUAAUGAUCAUUGUCAACACUAGUAUUUUAUCUUGGUUGUUAUAAUAAUUAUGUUUUAUAACCAGGGUUGACGUAGUUCAACUGGAUUAUAUUGUUACCUAUUACGUCUUGAAUAAUUAAACAUGGUAUGAUCACAUUUGAUCAAAUUACUCGGUUCAAUAGUUAUUGUCCAUUUUGUCUGUUUAUAAUCAAUCUUUUUGUUGUACAUCUCAAAUUAUUCCUGGUCAAAUUUAAGUAAAACGGACAAGUUCGUUUUAAUAUUUAAGUAGGCUAUUUUUCAAAGAAGUGGCGACAUUCAGAAAAGGGACAAUUAUUCAUUGGUUGAUAACGUCACGUGACAGUCUAAUUUUCCUAUAUAAAGGGUGCUAGAAUGUCGGAAGAGCAGAUAACGGUUCGUUAUAUCCAAAGCUAACCAAGAGAUAAAACCGAUACUUUAUAACAAUUACCGUAUAAUCACAACCUAUUAACUAAUUAGAAAGGUGAGAAUAGUGGCCUUGAUGGAACUUGGUCGUACAUGUUAAUGUUACAAAUGUCACCAUAAGUAAGUCUGCAGAAUAUGCCUCCAUUAUCACCGGGUUAACCAAUGUGCGACGUCAAGGACGUUAAGGGUUUGUGUUGUGAACGUUAUCUCCCACCACGCCGGACACCCAUAUUAUUAUAGAAUGAUUCACUAACUGUAUUUUAUUGUUAUUCAUAUCAUGACAUAACCUUGAAAUAAAGGAACGGGCAUAUUGAACAUA